rnacentral:rRNA from 1 species
AGCAGCCGCGGUAAUUCCAGCUCCAAUAGCGUAUAUUAAAGUUGUUGCAGUUAAAAAGCUCGUAGUUGAAUUUCGAGAUCAAUUUGUUGGUCGUGCCUCGGUACGUACUGGCAAUUUUGGUUUCUCCCUUCUGAAGAACCAUGAUGUCAUUAAUUUGGUGUCAUGGGGAAUCAGGACUGUUACUUUGAAAAAUUAGGGUGUUUAAAGCAGGCUCGCGCUUGAAUACAUUAGCAUGGAAUAAUGAAAUAGGACGUUUGAUUCUAUUUUGUUGGUUUCUAGGAUCGACGUAAUGAUUAAUAGGGAUAGUUGGGGCAUUAGUAUUCAAUUGUCAGAGGUGAAAUUCUUGGAUUUAUUGAAGACUAACUACUGCGAAAGCAUUUGCCAAGGAUGUUUUCAUUAAUACAAGAACGAAAGUUAGGGGAUCGAAGACGAUCAGAUACCGUCGUAGUC